rnacentral:lncRNA from 1 species
CUCAAAUACAAUAUAAAUAGGUAACAGUAACUACACUGAUCAAAAGAAAUAGUUUUGUGCCUGUAUAAAAUAUAUGACAAUGUGUCUUCCAGCUCUUGCAUAUGUCAUAUACUCUAUAUUAUUCUGCCUCCAAUGAGACAUACAUGGAAGGCACUAUGCAGUAUUAUAAAUCCACUCAUUCAUUCUUCAUGUGUUAAAUCAUCUACUCAAUACAAAGAUCUGAGCUAGGCUGGGGUAGUUGGUGAUGGUAGAAGGGUAAAGGGAUUCAAAAUAUACUGGUUUUUUGUCUUUAAGAAGCUAAAAUCCAAAAGAUGUAAUGUACCUAUCACAACCUCUGAAUGUAAGUCAAGUUUCAUAGGACAAAGCUGACUCAUUUUAGACUGACAAUUGUAACUAUGAUAUGCAGACCAUAUUUGUGUGAUUCCUCAUAGUUAGGCCUAAAUUUUGAGACCAGAUUUAUACUGCAGGAUUUGGAGACUUUUGGAGACUGCUAUUUCUACAUAGCAUCAAGCUUAAAAUCUGAUUUUAAGAUCUUGAUGCAGAGUUCAUACACCUCACCAGAAAAGGUACAAACUUCGAAGAAACUCCCCACAGAAUUAAUCAAUAGUAAUAGUGAGAGAGGAGGAAGGAAGAAAUCAGGCAGGCAGGCAGGCAGACAGGCAGUUAGAGCGGGUCCUCAGUAGAACUCCUUCAAGAACAGCCUGAGAAUCAAGCUGCAGGCCCAAGAUAAGCAAAAGCCUGUGUUCCUAAGUGUAAACACCCACCCUGUGAGCCCAAAUGAAAAAAUUCCACUCCUUUUUUGAGCAUUUUUCUCUCCCCUUGGCACACCUUUGUCCCAUUUUGUGUGCUUCCACCUGAUUGGCUCUUACCUUUCACCUGUUUUGCAUAUACCUAUCUUUCUGUGAUUGGAAGGGGGCCAAAUCUUCAUUUACAUAAAUUGAAACAUCAUUCUAGCUCCUGAUUGGUUGUGGGCCAAGCCUUCACUUCUGCCUCUAAUUGGAGCUUUAUGUUAUCAUGUCUCUUUCUGAAUGGUGCUUUUUCCAAAAUGGCCUGCAGACCACUCAGUGCACUCCUUAUUCCUAGUCCAUAAAAACACCAAACUUAGUACCAGAGUCAGCAACCCUCCUUCUGGUCCCCUCUUGCUGCUGAGAGCUUUUCUGUCCCUUAAUAAAUCCCUGUGUUACUCACUCUCCUGUGUCCACGUUGCUUAUUCUUCUUAGUCAUGGGACAAGAACCUGGAACUCACUGAAAAGCAGGAGUGAAGGAGCUGUAAUGGUGUAAUGGUCCCACUCACCGAGCUGCUUGUGGCAAGGGUCAAAGAACUGUAAUAUUCCCUCCUGCUCACUGAACAAUGGGAGUGAAGAAGCAGCAACAACAGCACCAGAGGGUUGAUUUGAAAAUGAUGGUACUUCGCUCUUGUUGCCCAGGCUGGAGUGCAAUGGCAUGAUAUUGGCUCACUACAACCUCCGCCUCCUGGGUUCAAGCGAUUCUCCUGCCUUAGCCUCCCGAGUCACUGGGAUUACAGACAUGAACAACCACACCCAGCCAAUUUUGUAUUUUUAGUAGAGACAGGGUUUCUCCAUGUUAGUCAGGCUGGUCUCGAACUCCUGACCUCAGGUCAUCCGCCCGCCUCGGCCUCCCUAAGUGCUGGGAUUACAGGCAUGAGCCACCACGCCCGGCCAAUAUUUACUGUUUAUCUUCUCCUCCCCAACUCUUUUCUACCUAGAAGACAGUAACUUAAGCCUGCCUAUAUUUGAGAACAGAGUGGGUAAGGAAGCCCAUUGUCAACUGCAGAAUGUUUGAAAUUGCAUUAUCCCUGAGUGUUUAAUAGCAACAUUUUCCUCUACUAAAUAAAUGCUGUAUACACACACAGACACACCCCCAACACACACAUACACACACACACACACACACACAUACAAAAAUACAUAUGUAUUUAUUUAAAACAGAAAAAUAUUAUUUUUGUAUUUUAUGCUAAAAGAUGUUUAAAUCUUGAACUGAAUUCACAUAUCACUUCCCAUUCAUUCAUUUUUUAAGCUAAGAGUACAAACCUAAAUGAAGCUUUUCUUAGUCAUUUGAAAGCUGUCAUGGUCCAAUCACUUCUGAAGGAAAUAUUUUAGCAAUUACUUUAGUCAAUGUGCAUGGCAAUGGUCAGGGACUUUAUUUUAUUCAAAAUAAGUGGCAGUCAAUAAAGUAUUGCAGAUGAUAGACAUUUAGGAAACAUUAGCUGAAUUAUUCAAAAAGAAGUACAAAGUUUCUACUAAAUAUAUAUAUAUAUAUAUAUUCAGUAGAUAUAUAUUCAGUAGAUAUGAAUGUGUAUAUAGUGUCCGACUAAACAGUGCUUGGCUUAUUAUAACUGUAAUAUGACUAGAUUUCUUCCAUUUUCCUAUAUCAUAUUACAUAAAUUAUUAUUUAUAAAUCUCUAAAGGACCCAUGGAAUUUAAUAUAAAUUAUAACUAUUUCACUUACAACCCACUUACAAACUCCUUUUUCUAUGGACUUUCUGAUAGUGUUUGCCUUAUUUGAAUAAUAAAAUUGUCCAGUAGGAGCUCAUCACUCUAGACAGCAACAGGCAUCUGCAGAGUUCAUUAGAGAUUGCUCCAUAAAAAUAAAAAAUAAAAAAACUUCCUUUGCUGGGUCCCCCAUGUGUUUCUUUUACAACUAUAAUGAGAGCUAUUAUCUACGAAGCGAUGACUAUUUUCCAGGUAAUCAAUAAAACUUAAAAAUGGAUAUGUUAUCUUAAUGGGUACUGAAACUUAAAAAAUAAAAUCAUAAAUUGUCCAAAGACAAAUUAUUUGUAGAUGGGAGAGAUUCAAAGCCUGGUUCUCUUGCCCCAAUGGCGUCUUCCCUUAUCCUAUAAUAGUUUCUUAUAUUUUUUUUACAAGAGUUUCUUUAACCUUUAUGAUAUCUUUGGCUCUGAUGUGUUGUCUUCAUUAUAUUUGCCCUUCCUGCCCACCAUUCUCUUUUCCUGACCCAGCUGUGUUUUCUCUCCUGACGUGGUCCACGUGAAUUGUGGUCACCUGCUAUAAUCGGCCCUCUCUCCUUUGGCCUGCAGACGUGGCCUGUAGAGAGUCCCACAGCCUCAGUGGGCACAGCCUGGUCUUCACAGGGCCCACUUUGCCCCUCCUAGACUCUAGGAUCAUUGUGACUGGAACAAGAAUUAAAAGAAAUUUAAAAAUCUGUAAGCAAAAACUCAGUUGUAUGUAAGAAAACUAACUAUGCCUGAGGAAGAGAAAGAGCUGAAGUCCUUUAAAAAUUGACUGUCUGUUUUUCUGUGGCUAGUGAGCCUUAUCUCUCCCUUUCCCAGGCAUUGUGAAGACCCUGUUUCUCUAGCUGUGCAGCUGCAAGGUCACUAGACAGAUAAUCUCAAGUCAUAAAACAUGUUGUUCCUUAAAAAGUAAGAAAUAAUGUAAUGCACGUCUUAAUUGAAUAACUGUCUUUCUUUCUCGCUUCUGUAAUACGCUUCCCCCUGCACAAAUCUCCCCCCGCCCCACAAAAUGGUUAAAAGGUAGCUUGACUCAGUCCUUUGGAUGUUAAUCCGAUUGGGUCGGUGCAGGUAAAUAAUUAAAUAAUUCCUCCUCAACCCCUCGGUCUCUCUGAUUCCUUAAUUAUCCCGCUGCAUGACAACCAUGACAUAAGUCAUAAAUGAGGGGAACACUCAUUCUUCGAGAAUAUGCACAAUGGCUUUUAGUAAAUUGGCAAACUUCAGCCCAAAAUGACAUUUGAUUCUCUUCUAAGUAAGCAAAAUCCACUGCAGUCUUAACAUGUAACUAACUAGGUGAAACUUACUUUGUUACCAGUUCUUUUUGAGGUUUAACGGUUCUUUUGACAUUUAUUUUGCUUUAGAGAACAAAAUGCUUUUGAAAUUUUCAUCUGAGAUUACUAAUUGAACCUAGAGAGAGCUGAAUGAUUAUGCUAUAAAUCAGCCACAUCAGCUAUGACUUUCAGGGAUAAGAAAAUAAAAGAAUGUGUAUUUCUGGGAUUCAUAUGAAGGAAUUCAUUGCAUGUAAAAUAACAACUUUUAUAUGCUAAUGUCCCCAGAAAGUAAAGCUUUGGACUAAAAGAAUCAAUAAACAAAAUAAUUUGUUUUAAAUUAUAAAGCAAUACAAACACACUGUUUAACAAUAGAAAUUACAGAUGAACAAAAAGAAGAAAAUGAAAUUUGUUAGCAACUCCAUAUAUAACUAGAUAACCACUGAGUGGUUUGUAAAUGUUAAUUUUUUUUUUUUUUUGAGACAGGGUCUCACGGUGUUUCUCAUGCUAGAGCGCAGUGGUGCAAUCAUGGCUCACUGCAACCUUGAUCUCCCAAGCUCAAGCAGUCCUCCCACCUCAGGCUCCAGAGUAGCUGGGACUACAGGGGCGCACCAGGAUUCCUGAGCUAAUUUUUUUUAAAUUUUUUUUUUUGUAGAAAUGGGUCUAUGUUGCCCAGACUGGUCUUGAACUCCUGGACUCAAGCAAAUCCUCCCACCUCGGCCUUCCAAAAUGCUGGAAUUACAGGCAUGAGCCACUCUGUCCGGCCUUAAAUAUUUUUCUGUACAUGUGUUUUUAACACGAACACACUCAUGAGGGUCACCUCCUGCACGAGUCCGAGAGGUAUUCCAUUAUUUUGCACCAAUACCACAUUAUCAUAAACAAUGUAGAUUAAAAAAAAAUCCUGAUAUUUUUAUUUUUGAACAAACCCUCUGUUUACACUACUUCUUUAAAAGUAAAUUGACCCUUUGGAUCCUUUAUCCUCUCUUCUCAUAUGAAUCUUACAUUUGUUUGUCAGCUUCUAUGAAAAAAUCACGGGACAAUUUUUAUUGAAAUUUCAUUGAAUUGAUAGAUUGAUUUGGCAAGAAGUUUUUGAAAUCUUCCCAUCUGCGGAUAUAUUUGUUUAAUCAUUUACAUUUUAUAUUAAGUCUUUCUAUUUUUUUUUC